UACGUAGGGUGCAAGCGUUAAUCGGAAUUACUGGGCGUAAAGCGUGCGCAGGCGGUUGUGCAAGACCGAUGUGAAAUCCCCCGGGCUUAACCUGGGAAUGGCAUUGGUGACUGCACGGCUAGAGUGUGUCAGAGGGGGGGUAGAAUUCCACGUGUAGCAGUGAAAAUGCGUAGAGAUGUGGAGGAAUACCGAUGGCGAAGGCAGCCCCCUGGGAUAACACUGACGCUCAUG
rnacentral:rRNA from 1 species